rnacentral:tRNA from 1 species
CCUCCUUAAACGAAAAUCCUUACAGUUAGUAAGUGUCUACACGCAUUGCUUGAUUAUAAAUGGUAACAGUAAAGUACGGUAUGCCGGCCGGGCUGCUAGGACCCGUCGCACCAGAAUUGGGUCUGUAGCUCAGUUGGUUAGAGCGCACCCCUGAUAAGGGUGAGGUCGGUGGUUCAAAUCCACCCAGACCCACCAAUUUAGUUCAAAUUGGGGCUAUAGCUCAGCUGGGAGAGCGCCUGCCUUGCACGCAGGAGGUCAGCGGUUCGAUCCCGCUUAGCUCCACCACUUUACUGUUUCGAGAAGUUAGCGAUAAGCGUAUAGCGUUUAUCACUGGCUUUUUUAUGCCAGAGCUCUUUAAAAAGAUGAUUAUUGAAUACUGAAAUAUUUUUUCAAGGGCCAGUGUGUAUUUUUUACACAUCUGUCCGGCGAAAUUGUUACUAAUUACUAUGGAAAUAGUAAGUCGCAACAAAUCUUGCUAGCUUGUACUGUAUGGUCAAGCGAGUAACGCACACGGUGAAUGCCUUGGCAGUUGGAGGCGAUUAAGGAA